GCCAUUGAGACUUUAACACAGAGUCUUCGAUUACUGGAAGGAGAACGAAAUGCUCAGACAAGACAAAUACAAACAUUACAAGAGCAGCAGAAGAGACUUCGGAUAAACUGGAGGAGAGAGAGCAGGACACGGGUCGGAGAUCACUGAGUCCUGGACCGGACCGACGGAUCGAGCAGUGGAAGAGAGAGAUGGAUCGAGAGCUGAGCAGUCUGAGAGCGCAGAUCAACCGCGCCGCGACUCUAGGAAACCAGGAAGAAAGUUUCAGCUCCAAACUGCGCAGAGAAGAACUGGAGCAGCUCAGGAGAGAGGUGGACAUCCUUAAAAACAAACUCCUGCGGCAGGAAGAAGAUACGUUCCAGCUCCGGUCAGAGGCCAGAGAAACAAGGAGACAGUAUGAACAUAGCUCUAAGACGUUGGAGAGUUUUACAGAUUCGUACCGAACGCACAGUUUCGAUCUCGCUCGGAUGGUGUCACAGUAUCAGCACACGCAACAGGAAGUGCGUGACCUCAGAGUCACUGUCUCUGAGCUGAAGGACGAGGUGCGAGGUCUGGUCCUGAGAGAAACCCUCCCCACACCUGCACCUCUAACACACAAACCAGUGGUAACUGUGAAGACAAGCCCCCAGAGACGUGUGUCGUCAGGGUCCGAUGAUGAUUUCAGUCCCACCCCCAGUCUGGGGGAGAUCAGCUCAGAUGAGUUAGAUGCAUCAUGGCUGGAUGAACCAGAGCCACAAACCAGGAGGAGGCGCCGGCGAGUCCGUUUAAAUUCAGACAUUACAGGAAGUGACCUCAGCGAUGCUGGAAGUGGGCUGGAUAGUAACCUUGGCAAUGAUGCUGAAGGAGUUUCAGACAGUCCUCCAGAUCUCAGUCUCAGUGACCUCUGACCUUAAAGGUCAAUAAAUCUGUGUGCUGCUAUUAGAAGGAAAUAGAAACCAUAGUCUUGCGUUGACGCAAGUAAGUAGGUUUAAAGAGUGCCCCGGACUGUGCUAUUUCUGCUAUAAUUGAUCUAUACAUUCAUGUUAAAUCAAGACCAUGGGCACAGUUUUUGCAGUAUUUUAUGACUGACACACAUUACAGUCUUUAUAGGCUUUGCAAGUAUUGCACAUAUUUGCAAUAGCGCAAAGAGUGUUUUCACUAUUAACAUGCAACACAUAACAUCCAUUUAGUCCAAAACUGUUUGACUUUUGCUUGUUUACAUGUUGUAAAUGUAUUUACAGGCAGUAUUUGGAGAAUGUUUGUCACAGUAAGACCAGAAAUAUGUAUUAAGACUGUAAAUCGUCAAUUUAAUUUCAUGUUGACAAAAACAAGUUACCUUUUUACCACUUAAAAUAAGUCUAUAGCAUUUCAUAACAUGCGUUUCCAGUGUUAUGAGCCAAAUUUCAAAAAGUGACAAUUUAGUGUAUUUUAAAGACUUUUAUUAAUUAAAAAAGAACAGUGUGUAAGAAACACUUUAAAUGCACUUCCACAAGUUAUUACACAAAGAAAACAACACACAUCCAUCAGCCAACAAACCACAAGGAUGAAAAUACUGUAUUGAUGUUUUAUCAAUCAAUAAAAAUGUUAAAAUGUUAAGUCUAUAGCUAUAUUUUGUUUAUUUUUCGCAGUUUUUAUAAAACAUUUUAGGCACAAGAAAAGCAUUACAAUUAUGGCUGUUUAUUGACUGAAGGUCUGUUUUUUACCAUCUUUGUCAAAAGUGCAUGCAAAUGAAUUUGUUUCUUAAAACAAGGUUGAAAACAGUUGAAUUUUGCACCAUCAUGAGCCAAGAGACGGUUGUGUUUUCAGCGCUGUUGUUUUGUCUGUUUGGUGACAUUGCUUAUGAUGUAAACAACUCCACAUUUUCACUUGAAGUGAAUUGAACGUCUGUGCAGCUGAAAAAAAAAUGCAAUUUCUCACGGGUGGAAACAUGCUUGGGAACUAAGCAGAAAUGAACAUUGGGAAAUCAUUACUGGUGCCGUUUGUACAGCAUUAAAUGAAUUUUUCAGAUUUAUUACAGGUUAAGCUGUAUAAUUUUGUCUACAGAUUUUUAAAAACAAGUACAAAUGAGUUUACAGUAAUGAAUUUACUAGGGAAGACUCUCCUUGUGUGUGUCGUGCAAAUGUUACAGAGUUUAGCAGCUUUACAGGGGUGAGAAAACUGAAUGUAACUUCACAAAGACACGGUUAGAAGACUUUUAUAGCUAGUGCCAUGCAAGUCAUGUGGCUGUACUGUUGAAAACGAAAUGCAUUUUAUUGUUUACUCUGGUACCCCACAGAAGUGCAUUACUGUAAACAGAGAGGGGUUAAAAUGACUUUGUGUGAUGAUCGAAAACUACUGAACGUCGAGCAUUUCCUCCAAAGAGUAGUUUUAAAUUUACUCACCUUUUGGCCAUCUAAGAUGUAGGUUUGUUUGUUUCUUUAUUUGUUAAAAUGCAGCAUUUCAUCACGUUCCCAGCAAUGGAUGCUCUGUAGUGAAUAGGUGCCGUCAGAUAAAAACAUCACAAUAAUACAGAAGUAAUCCACACUACUCCAGUCCAUCAAGUUAACAUCUGGAGAAGCCAAAUGCUGCAUGUUUUUAAGAGACAAAUCCAGUUUGUAUAAGUGUUUAAACUCGUUUCAGGUCAUAAUAGGAGUCCAUAAUAUAUAAUAAUGUUUCCUCCAGUGAAAAAAAAGUCCAUCCUCUGUUGUCCUCUCAGAAUCCACCAAAAUAUUUGUUUAAAUCUGUAUCUUAUAAACGGUGCUUGGCCUGAGCAGAUUUCUCUCCUUAAUCAGAUGAGAUGACUUUCACACUGUAGAAAGCAUUAUUAUAGAUAGAGGACUCUUAUUUUACAUGUAAAAAAAUCUUAAUAAUGGAUUUGUUUCUUACAAACAUGCAUCUUUUCACUUCUCAAGAUGUUAACUGAUGGACCAGAGUGGUGUGGAUUAUUGUGAUGUUUUUAUCAGCUGUUUGUACUCUCAUUCUGACGGCACCCAUUCACUGAAGAGCAUACAUUGGUGCGCAAGAGAUGCAAUGCAUGAAACAAAUGAACACAUACAGCCAAAAACAGCUCCCUAAUAUCCCCGCAGCACACAAUCCUUCCCAAACCUAAAGUGCAAGAAAACAACCCAGCGAACGGGAACUGACGGACAUGGUGAAUUUAACAACUAAAGUAGAGUAAGAUGCUACAUUUAGUCCUGUAACAGAAACAACAGGAGUGUUUGUGCCUCUGUGAAGCUAAUUUAAUUGUGUCUGUGUUGUGUUGAUCAGAGGAUGUUAGGCUCUCUGAAGAUG
rnacentral:lncRNA from 1 species